CAUUGUUAAAUUAAAAUGAUUGUAUAUUUAUGCAAAUGUGACGAUUCUGAUCAAAACUCUUACUUCAAUGAUGACGUAUUUCCAAAUACUUACCAAGUGUAUGGUAUGGUCGGGACAAUUUUGGCUACUAUUGUGUGUUGGAUUCUCUAUACGCAGAUAAUGACAAGAAGAAAUCGAUUAUAUAACAACAACUGCCAUCAUCAAGCCAGAAUUAUUAAAAAUGUCUCAAGGCAAAGAAGAUAAAUUAAAAAAACAAAUGAAAAACUUUCGAGUCUUGUAACAAAUAUUUAUGUUCGUCAUCAACUCGACCCCUCUUUAGUAAAUAAACUAAUAUAUAUUGAUAUGGGAAAACUGGAACAUUGUGGUGAAAGAAGAAACGCAGCUUCACU